UACAGAGGGUGCAAGCGUUAUCCGGAUUCACUGGGUUUAAAGGGUGCGUAGGUGGGCAAGUAAGUCAGUGGUGAAAUCUCCGGGCUUAACCCGGAAACUGCCAUUGAUACUAUUUGUCUUGAAUACUGUGGAGGUCAGCGGAAUAUGUCAUGUAGCGGUGAAAUGCUUAGAUAUGACAUAGAACACCAAUUGCGAAGGCAGCUGACUACACAAAUAUUGACACUGAGGCACGAAAGCGUGGGGAUCAAACAGG
rnacentral:rRNA from 1 species